rnacentral:rRNA from 1 species
AGCAGUAGCCACGGUAAUACGAAGGGGGCUAGCGUUGUUCGGAAUUACUGGGCGUAAAGCGCACGUAGGCGGAUACUUAAGUUAGGGGUGAAAUCCCAGGGCUCAACCCUGGAACUGCCUUUAAUACUGGGUAUCUUGAGUAUGGAAGAGGUGCGUGGAAUUCCGAGUGUAGAGGUGAAAUUCGUAGAUAUUCGGAGGAACACCAGUGGCGAAGGCGGCUCACUGGUCCAUUACUGACGCUGAGGUGCGAAAGCGUGGGGAGCAAACAGGAUUAGAUACCCGAGUAGUCCCUGUCUCUUAUAC